rnacentral:rRNA from 1 species
AACGUAGGGGACAAGCGUUAUCCGGAUUUACUGGGCGUAAAGCGCCCGUAGGCGGCCUGACAAGUUGGACGUGAAAGCUCCUGGCUUAACUGGGAGAGGCCGUUCAAAACUGUCAAGCUAGAGUCUGGAAGAGGAGAGCGGAAUUCCCGGUGUAGUGGUGGAAUGCGUAGAGAUCGGGAGGAACACCAGUGGCGAAGGCGGGUCUCUGGGCAGUAACUGACGCUGAGGUGCGAAAGCGUGGGGAGCAAACAGG